UCCAUCGUCUCCGACAGGGACAAAAUCUUCACCAGCGCGAUGUGGCGGGAGCUGCUCGCCGCGGACGGCACCAAUCUCCUGUACUCCACUACCUACCGUCCUCAGACGGACGGCCAAACCGAGCGGGUCAACUAAUGCCUCGAGAUGUACCUUCGAUGCGCCGCACACGACACCCUGAAGCAAGGGCGCAAGUGGCUGCCGGUGGCGGAAUUUUGGUACAAGUCCACGCUUCACUCGUCGCUCAAGUGCUCUCCCUUCAAGGUGCUCUACGGCAUCGACCCCAACCUGGGGGGCUUGCCACACUUCGACUCCGCCAUGCCAGCGGACGCACCAACGGGCGAGCUAUACUGGGGUGCGCACACUGAUCGGCUUCACGCACAACUUGCCCGUGCCCAGGCAAGCUUCAAGAAGCAGACAGACCUCCACCGGGCGGUGCGAGCGUUCGACGUUGGGGAACAGGUACUGCUCAAGCUACAACCGUAUGAUCAGUCUUCGAUCGUCAAUCGCCCCUGCCGGAACCUCUCCUACAAGUUCUACGGUCCGUUCAUGGUGGCCGAACGGAACGGUACACUGGCGUAUCGCCUGCAACUGCCGGCAGAUUGCCGCAUCCAUCCGGUAUUCCAUGUUUCCCAGUUGAAGCCUGUCAUUCCUGAUUACACCCCUGUCUUCUCUGAACUACCACGAGUACUUGAGCUGGUCACCGGCGAGGCGGAGCCCAUGGCCAUCUUGGAGCGUUGCAUGAUGAAGGAAGGGGACAUGCCAAUCAUCCAGCUACAAGUGUAA
rnacentral:rRNA from 1 species